rnacentral:rRNA from 1 species
AAUCUGGCUCAGGACGAACGCUGGCGGCAUGCCUAAUACAUGCAAGUCGAACGAGCUUCCGUUGAAUGACGUGCUUGCACUGAUUUUAACAAUGAAGCGAGUGGCGAACUGGUGAGUAACACGUGGGAAAUCUGCCCAGAAGCAGGGGAUAACACUUGGAAACAGGUGCUAAUACCGUAUAACAACAAAAUCCGCAUGGAUUUUGUUUGAAAGGUGGCUUCGGCUAUCACUUCUGGAUGAUCCCGCGGCGUAUUAGUUAGUUGGUGAGGU